rnacentral:rRNA from 1 species
GACGAACGCUGGCGGCGUGCUUAACACAUGCAAGUCGAACGGUAAGGCCCUUCGGGGUACACGAGUGGCGAACGGGUGAGUAACACGUGGGUGAUCUGCCCUGCACUUCGGGAUAAGCCUGGGAAACUGGGUCUAAUACCGGAUAGGACUCCGGACUGCAUGGUCUGGGGUGGAAAGCUUUUGCGGUGUGGGAUGGGCCCGCGGCCUAUCAGCUUGUUGGUGGGGUGAUGGCCUACCAAGGCGACGACGGGUAGCCGGCCGUAGAGGGUGCCCGGCCACACUGGGACUGAGAUACGGCCCAGACUCCUACGGGAGGCAGCAGUGGGGAAUAUUGCACAAUGGGCGCAAGCCUGAUGCAGCGACGCCGCGUGAGGGAUGACGGCCUUCGGGUUGUAAACCUCUUUCAGCACAGACGAAGCGCAAGUGACGGUAUGUGCAGAAGAAGGACCGGCCAACUACGUGCCAGCCGCCGCCGUAA